rnacentral:rRNA from 1 species
AACGAAUGCUGGCGGCAGGCCUUACACAUGCAAGUCGAACGUGAAAGUCCUUCGGGAUGAGUAAAGUGGCGCACGGGUGAGUAACGCGUGGGAACAUGCCCUUCAGUACGGGAUAACAGCGGGAAACUGCUGCUAAUACCGUAUAUUCCCUACGGGGGAAAGAUUUAUCGCUGAAGGAUUGGCCCGCGUUAGAUUAGCUAGUUGGUGAGGUAAUGGCUCACCAAAGCUACGAUCUAUAGCCGGUCUGAGAGGACGAUCGGCCACACUGGAACUGAGACACGGUCCAGACUCCUACGGGAGGCAGCAGUGGGGAAUAUUGGACAAUGGGCGAAAGCCUGAUCCAGCCAUGCCGCGUGAGUGAUGAAGGCCUUAGGGUUGUAAAGCUCUUUUGGCGGGGAAGAUAAUGACGGUACCCGCAGAAUAAGCCCCGGCUAACUUCGUGCCAGCAGCCGCGGUAA